GCAUUGGUGAUUCAGUGGUAGAAUUCUCACCUGCAAUUCAGGAGGCCCAGGUUUGAUUCCCGGCCAAUGCA
rnacentral:tRNA from 1 species